CCCAGUUGAGUAUCAUGCCUCGAAUGGUGCCAGAGACGGAACAAAAGGUUUUCUGAUCACAGCCGGAGAAGUUACUGUCAAAGAAAUUCUAACAGCUGAGAAGAUCGAGUGGAGAUUCUUCAAACACUGAAGCUACAUCAGAAAAUUCCAUGGAUCCAAACGCAUCUGGCACAUGGCUGCAGUCUGGCACAUCUUCAUAUGUCAGAGCCUUUUCAGACUGAAAAGAAAUGUUCCACCGAGAUUCUUUUGCAGAAUUAGAAGGAAGAUUUCAUCAGAAGAUUUCACCACUAAAGUCUAAAUAAGAUUGGUUUGCAAGUUCCAAACUAUGGCUAACAGCUAAUGGAAGUCCACAGGCCAGCAGCAACAACUUUUAUAUUAUGUUCUUAAUAUUCUAAUUGUUGAUAUGACGUUCAUAUAAAGAGCA